AACGAACGCUGGCGGCAUGCCUAACACAUGCCAGUCGAACGAGACCUUCGGGUCUAGUGGCGCACGGGUGCGUAACGCGUGGGAACCUGCCCUUAGGUUCGGAAUAACUCCCCGAAAGGGGUGCUAAUACCGGCUAAUGUCUUCGGACCAAAGAUUUAUCGCCUUUGGAUGGGCCCGCGUUGGAUUAGCUAGUUGGUAGGGUAAAAGCCUACCAAGGCGACGAUCCAUAGCUGGUCUGAGAGGAUGAUCAGCCACACUGGGACUGAGACACGGCCCAGACUCCUACGGGAGGCAGCAGUGGGGAAUAUUGGACAAUGGGCGAAAGCCUGAUCCAGCAAUGCCGCGUGAGUGAUGAAGGCCUUAGGGUUGUAAAGCUCUUUUACCCGGGAUGAUAAUGACAGUACCGGGAGAAUAAGCUCCGGCUAACUCCGUG
rnacentral:rRNA from 1 species